AACGAACGCUGGCGGCAUGUCUAACACAUGCAAGUCGAACGAUGCUUUCGGGCAUAGUGGCGCACGGGUGCGUAACGCGUGGGAAUCUGCCUUUGGGUUCGGAAUAACAGUGAGAAAUUGCUGCUAAUACCGGAUGAUGUCUUCGGACCAAAGAUUUAUCGCCCAGGGAUGAGCCCGCGUAGGAUUAGCUAGUUGGUGGGGUAAUGGCCUACCAAGGCGACGAUCCUUAGCUGGUCUGAGAGGAUGAUCAGCCACACUGGGACUGAGACACGGCCCAGACUCCUACGGGAGGCAGCAGUGGGGAAUAUUGGACAAUGGGCGCAAGCCUGAUCCAGCAAUGCCGCGUGAGUGAUGAAGGCCUUAGGGUUGUAAAGCUCUUUUACCCGGGAUGAUAAUGACAGUACCGGGAGAAUAAGCUCCGGCUAACUCCGUG
rnacentral:rRNA from 1 species